AUCCAAGCACACACAUCUUCAUCGCCUUCUCCGGUGAACUUUGGCACUAUUGUUUCUAUAUAUUGAAUAGUAUUCAUUGAUAUUGGUUUAAGCUCCAGGCGUUUUACUUUCAUUUCGAGUGAGGCUAUAGCAGCGGCUUCGUCAUUUGAGGUUAUGUCAUCACCAUCUCCACGUGUUUUAUCAGCCGCCAUUUCCUGACUUGUUGUCUUCUUCACGUUGUCUGCAAACAAUUGUCGUAGUUGCGUCGCCUUUGCCGUCUCUGGGUAUUCAAUACCAGCUGCGUCUAAUGACCAUUUUA